GGAAGGUGCGGCGCACCCUCGUCGUCCCCUCUCGUCGCGCUCCCGCCAGUGACGCUGAACCUAGCAGCGCUGCGGGCGGCUUCGACCGUAAGCUGGUAAUUGCCUCGACUUGCCGGCUUUCUAAAGGCCACGUGCUGUGUUCCAGUUCUUGAAGACAAAUGAAGGCCAACGACUGGAGCGACAUUUUGGAUACGAGGACCAGGGUCUUGCACAGCAGGAGUCAUUUAAAAUGAAGUAAAGAAGAGAAAGACAUUACUUUCUUAGAUAAUAGGCUCUCCUCCUUCCCAGCUUGAUGAAGUAAGUGGCCACACUGGGGAAGCCCAUAUGUUAAAGAACUUCAGGAGUCCUCAGCAAACCAUGGGAUGCCUCUGGGGACUGUGGCCUCCUGGAGUCAAGGGCAGCCUCCAAGCAACAGCCAGCAAUGAGCUGAACCCUUACUCCUACAAGCAUAGGAAGCAGAUUCUGCUGACAACCUGGGUCAUCUUAGAAGGAGAUUCUUCCGUAGCUGAGUCCCCUGAUGAUAAUGCAGCCGGGCCAGUAUCUUCACAGCAAUAUUGUGAAACCCUAAGGGAAUGGCUAAGCUGAGUCUGUAUUCCUGACUAGGGAAACUGUAAGUUAAUAAAUUGUGGUCAUUUAGUUGCUAAGUCGUGUCCAACUCUUUUGUGACCCCAUGGAC
ensembl:lncRNA